rnacentral:rRNA from 1 species
CAGUAGCCACGGUAAUGCGAAGGGGGCUAGCGUUGUUCGGAUUUACUGGGCGUAAAGGGCGCGUAGGCGGACUGAUAAGUCAGGGGUGAAAUCCCAAGGCUCAACCUUGGAACUGCCUUUGAUACUGUUUGUCUUGAGUUCAAGAGAGGUAAGUGGAACUGCGAGUGUAGAGGUGAAAUUCGUAGAUAUUCGCAGGAACACCAGUGGCGAAGGCGGCUUACUGGCUCGAUACUGACGCUGAGGCGCGAAAGCGUGGGAAGCAAACAGGAUUAGAUACCCCGGUAGUCCCUGUCUCUUAUAC